rnacentral:rRNA from 1 species
GACGAACGCUGGCGGCGUGCCUAACACAUGCAAGUCGAACGGGUCCCGCAAGGGAUCGAGUGGCGAACGGGUGCGUAACACGUGAGGAACUUGCCUAUCGGCGGGGGAUAGCCGGCCCAACGGCCGGGUAAUACCGCGUACGACCUUUGGGGGGCAUCCCCUGGAGGUGAAAGCAGCAAUGCACCGAUAGAGAGCCUCGCGGCCUAUCAGCUAGUUGGUGAGGUCACGGCUCACCAAGGCGACGACGGUAGCUGGUCUGAGAGGAUGAUCAGCCACAUUGGGACUGAGACACGGCCCAGACUCC